AGCGAACGCUGGCGGCAGGCCUAACACAUGCAAGUCGAGCGGGCAUCUUCGGAUGUCAGCGGCAGACGGGUGAGUAACACGUGGGAACGUACCCUUCGGUUCGGAACAACUCUGGGAAACUGGAGCUAAUACCGGAUACGCCCUUAUGGGGAAAGGUUUACUGCCGAAGGAUCGGCCCGCGUCUGAUUAGCUAGUUGGUGUGGUAACGGCAUACCAAGGCGACGAUCAGUAGCUGGUCUGAGAGGAUGAUCAGCCACACUGGGACUGAGACACGGCCCAGACUCCUACGGGAAGCAGCAGUGGGGAAUAUUGGACAGUGGGCGCAAGCCUGAUCCAGCCAUGCCGCGUGAGUGAUGAAGGCCUUAGGGUUGUAAAGCUCUUUUGUCCGGGACGAUAAUGACGGUACCGAAAGAAUAAGCCACGGCUAACUUCGUG
rnacentral:rRNA from 1 species